rnacentral:lncRNA from 1 species
UGCACACCUACUUUUUUUUGAGUACUUUUUCAUCCUUAAGUAGUUCCACCAACUCAAAUGUGUAGUUAGUAUGCAAGGAUUUUAUCUUCUCUUACAUAGCUCUUUUCUUUAGUCUUCAAUUUGAGCAACCACUUAUUUUUGAGUGCUUUCUUACCCUUAGGUAGUUCUAUUAACUCAAAUAUGUGGUUCUCAUACAAGAAUUUUAUCUUUUCUUGCAUAAUUUUUAACCACUCUCU